CGAGCGGCAGCACGGGUACUUGUACCUGGUGGCGAGCGGCGGACGGGUGAGUAAUGCCUAGGAAUCUGCCUGGUAGUGGGGGAUAACGCUCGGAAACGGACGCUAAUACCGCAUACGUCCUACGGGAGAAAGCAGGGGACCUUCGGGCCUUGCGCUAUCAGAUGAGCCUAGGUCGGAUUAGCUAGUUGGUGAGGUAAUGGCUCACCAAGGCGACGAUCCGUAACUGGUCUGAGAGGAUGAUCAGUCACACUGGAACUGAGACACGGUCCAGACUCCUACGGGAGGCAGCAGUGGGGAAUAUUGGACAAUGGGCGAAAGCCUGAUCCAGCCAUGCCGCGUGUGUGAAGAAGGUCUUCGGAUUGUAAAGCACUUUAAGUUGGGAGGAAGGGCAGUUACCUAAUACGUGAUUGUUUUGACGUUACCGACAGAAUAAGCACCGGCUAACUCUGUGCCAGCAGCCGCGGUAAUACAGAGGGUGCAAGCGUUAAUCGGAAUUACU
rnacentral:rRNA from 1 species